rnacentral:rRNA from 1 species
UACGUAGGAGACGAGCGUUGUCCGGAAUCAUUGGGCGUAAAGAGCGCGUAGGCGGUCCGGUAAGUCCGCUCUGAAAGUCCGGGGGCUCAACCCCCGGAAGGCGGGCGGAUACUGUCGGGCUAGAGUCCGGAAGAGGCGAGUGGAAUUCCUGGUGUAGCGGUGAAAUGCGCAGAUAUCAGGAGGAACACCGAUGGCGAAGGCAGCUCGCUGGGACGGUACUGACGCUGAGGCGCGAAAGCGUGGGGAGCAAACAGG